GGGUAGGGGAGCGUCCUGUAGCCGGCGAAGCCGCCGAGUGAUCGAGUGGUGGAGGCUGCGGGAGUGAGAAUGCAGGCAUGAGUAGCGAAUCACACGUGAGAAACGUGUGCGCCGGAUGACCAAGGGUUCCUGGGGCAGGCUAAUCCGCCCAGGGUAAGUCGGGACCUAAGGCGAGGCCGACAGGCGUAGUCGAUGGACAACGGGUUGAUAUUCCCGUACCCGCUGGUAUGCGCCAACGCUGAACCCUCUGAUGCUAAGACCCUGAAUCCUGGGUUGAGCCUUCGGGCUUGUCCUGGGCCUAGCGGUCGGCCCGAGGGGGUAGUAGGUGAGUGAUGGGGUGACGCAGGAGGGUAGCUCAGCCCAGGCGAUGGUUGUCCUGGGGUAAGCAUGUAGCCCGGUGUGCAGGUAAAUCCGUACACCGCUGAAGGGUGAGAUGUGAUGCCGAGCCGUUUUAGGUGAAGUGAGUGAUCCCAUGCUGUCGAGAAAAGCCUCUAGCGAGUGUACUGGCGGCCCGUACCCUAAACCGACUCAGGUGGUCAGGUAGAGAAUACCAAGGCGAUCGGGUGAACUGUGGUUAAGGAACUCGGCAAAUUGCCCCCGUAACUUUGGGAGAAGGGGGACCACGUCUGGUGAACCGUCUUGCACGGGGAGCUGGGUGGGGUCGCAGAGGCCAGGGGGAAGCGACUGUUUACUAAAAACACAGGUCCGUGCGAAGUCGUAAGACGCUGUAUACGGACUGACGCCUGCCCGGUGCCGGAACGUUAAGAGGACCGGUUAGAGGAACUUUGUUUCUCGAAGCUGAGAAUCUAAGCGCCGGUAAACGGCGGUGGUAACUAUAACCAUCCUAAGGUAGCGAAAUUCCUUGUCGGGUAAGUUCCGACCUGCACGAAUGGCGUAACGACUUCCCCGCUGUCUCAACCACAGGCCCGGUGAAAUUGCAGUACGAGUAAAGAUGCUCGUUUCGCGCAGCAGGACGGAAAGACCCCGGGACCUUCACUACAGCUUGGCAUUGGCGCCUGAAGCGUCUUGUGUAGGAUAGGUGGGAGACUGUGAAGCCGGCACGCCAGUGUCGGUGGAGUCGUUGGUGAAAUACCACUCUGGUCGUUUUGAGCGUCUAACCCGCACCCGUGGAUCCGGGUGGGGGACAGUGCCUGGUGGGUAGUUUAACUGGGGCGGUUGCCUCCUAAAGUGUAACGGAGGCGCCCAAAGGUUCCCUCAGCCUGGUUGGCAAUCAGGUGGCGAGUGCAAGGGCACAAGGGAGCUUGACUGUGAGACGGACGUGUCGAGCAGGUGCGAAAGCAGGGCCUAGUGAUCCGGCACCUACGUGUGGAAGUGGUGUCGCUCAACGGCUAAAAGGUACCCCGGGGAUAACAGGCUGAUCUUCCCCAAGAGUCCAUAUCGACGGGAUGGUUUGGCACCUCGAUGUCGGCUCGUCGCAUCCUGGGGCUGGAGUAGGUCCCAAGGGUUGGGCUGUUCGCCCAUUAAAGCGGCACGCGAGCUGGGUUUAGAACGUCGCGAGACAGUUCGGUCCCUAUCCGCUGUGCGCGUAGGAGAAUUGAGAGGGUCUGUCCCUAGUACGAGAGGACCGGGACGGACGAACCUCUGGUGUGCCAGUUGUCCCGCCAGGGGCACGGCUGGUUGGCUACGUUCGGUCGGGAUAACCGCUGAAAGCAUCUAAGCGGGAAGCCUUCCUCGAGAUGAGUUCUCCCACCCCU
rnacentral:ncRNA from 1 species